AGCCUUCAUGGAUCUUGGGGACACCGGGAACAGCCUGCAAUUGGUUUUCAGACAUUAAACUCUAUUUAGUCAAACCACAUAACCACAUUGGUAAGUGUAGUCAUGGAUUUUUCAGUCAUGCGGGUUGCUUAAUUGAAGUUAUAAGAUAAGCACCUCGAAAUAUUCCACGAGCUUGUGAGACCGUUCACCGAGAGGCCCUGUAUAAAUGACUUGCCCUCCUCUUUUCAUCAGGAGAAGCUGCAAAAAGAACACAUCCUCAGCUCAGGGAUACCUUGAAGAGAUAAUCCUGAAAACACAUAAAAGGACCACGGAGUUCAAUCAUCCUAACCGUACCUCAUCAAAAGCCUCAAAAAUGUCUAUACAUGGUUGGUGAAUUGUGCACACAACAGUACGCCCAGUAUCCACGGUGUUUCUCAUGGUACGCAUGACGAUUGCAGCUGCUCUGGCAUCGAGACCUGAUGUGGGAUCAUCCAUGAAAAUAAUUG
rnacentral:lncRNA from 1 species